AGGAUUCUAAAAAGAGCAAUGGUUCACAAGGAAACUUCUGCCUCAGGUGGGGAGAGGAGUCCAUAGAUCAGGGAAACUUAUGUCUUGGUGAAAUGGAAGACCAUGUUUCUCAACACCUGUUGCCAGGUUACUUGAAUUUCCAUUAGAGGAGCAGAAAUGCCACCAAUGCCAAGUGCCCCACCUGUGCAUCCACCUCCAGAUGGAGGAUGGGGUUGGAUUGUGGUUGGAGCAGCUUUUAUCUCCAUUGGAUUUUCCUAUGCAUUCCCCAAAGCUGUCACCGUAUUCUUCAAAGAAAUUCAGCAAAUAUUCCACACUACCUACAGUGAAAUAGCAUGGAUUUCAUCCAUUAUGCUGGCUGUUAUGUACGCAGGAGGUAGAAUAUUUUAAAGCUUUUUGAUCUUCACAUCCUUGAGGAUUCAGUGCAGCUUUACUCAAUCAGGAUCAUUCCUAGGGCCUCUCUACUGUCUGAGAUACAAUAGUAUUGUAAUUAGGCCACUUAAUAAACCUACAGUGGCUUCUAAGUGUUCAAGUGAAAGGAAGAGUUGCAAGUCUCUCAUUUGAAAUCAAAAGCUAG
rnacentral:sRNA from 1 species